GACGUAGGGCGCGAGCGUUGUCCGGAUUUAUUGGGCGUAAAGAGCUCGUAGGCGGUUUGUCGCGUCGUCCGUGAAAACCUGGGGCUCAACCUCAGGCUUGCGGUCGAUACGGGCAGGCUAGAGUUCGGUAGGGGAGACUGGAAUUCCUGGUGUAGCGGUGAAAUGCGCAGAUAUCAGGAGGAACACCGGUGGCGAAGGCGGGUCUCUGGGCCGAUACUGACGCUGAGGAGCGAAAGCGUGGGGAGCGAACAGG
rnacentral:rRNA from 1 species